AUGUUUGGACAAACAAAUAUACUUAGUUCCGUGUUCAGAAGUGUGGAUCUCCGUACUGUCUGGAUGUUAUCCGAUGAAUAUCUAGGUGCAGAGGAUUGGACUGAUUAUAUUUGGAAUGAGCAAAAAUCCAUCUCCGUACCUGACCUUUUUGAGUCUUUUUCCUAACUGAGGAAUGAAACCUGUCCUAACAAAUUUUGAAGAGAUACUAGG
rnacentral:lncRNA from 1 species